UUAAAAGAAAAAAAAAAAAUUCUUCGAGUCACGAAUCCAAAUUUGUGUAGAGAUAUAGCUAUUUACAGUUGAAUCAGAUGUGCCCGUAUUGGCAAGAACAUUGAUACGGGCUUCGUUGUUGAUAUAUAUAUAUAGAGAUAGAAUGGUUUUGCACUAAAUAAAGCUCAAGGUCCUAAUUAGCAACAUUUCCCCCUCUCUCAAAAGCCCAGCUUUAUCAACUGGAAUUGAGCUCCUUUUCUUUUCAAUUGCUUUUGCUAUAAUUAAUUUUUUGUAAUGUUUGUUUUCGUCUAAUUUUAUCAACAACAUUAUGCAGCGGAUCAGAAGUAUGCUCACUUGAGCAAGCUCGAGAAGGCCUCUGAUAAUCUGAAACUUUUCAAGGCAGAUAUACUGGAUUACAACAACAUUUACUCCGCUAUUGAAGGAUGCAGUGGAGUCUUCCAUGUUGCUAGCCCUGUUCCAUCUGCUACUGUUCCAAAUCCAGAGGUUAUUACAUGCCUGACUUCAACAUGUUUUUCAAUAUAAUCAUACUAAUAUAUUACUAAAUCCAUAUAAUCAUUGCAGAAUAUAACAAUAUUUUGUUUUUAAUAGAAUACCUUGUCUUUAUGGUCUUAGGUAGAAUUAAUGGAGCCAGCCGUAAAGGGUACACUAAAUGUGCUUAAAGCAUGUGCGCAAGCAAAGGUUAAGCGAGUUGUUGUUGUGUCCUCUGGAGCUGCAGUGUCCAUGAACCCAAGCUGGCCCAAGGGUCAACUGAUGGAUGAAAGUUGUUGGUCCAAUAAGGAAUAUUGCAUAUCAACUAAGAACUGGUAUUGUCUUUCCAAGACGAAAGCAGAAAGUGAGGCUUUUGAGUAUGGAAAACAGAGUGGGCUUGAUGUUGUCACUGUUUGCCCCACCCUCAUUUUGGGGCCAAUUCUGCAGUCCACAGUAAAUGCAAGUAGCAAGGUUAUUAUUAAGUUUUUGAAAGGUACCAUCAUGUAUACCAUAACUAUUUUUGAUUGGGCAUGUAUAUUAUUAUGUGGUCAUCUUCAUAUGUGAUUGUCAUAUGCUCGAAUCAUUUAUAUGUCUUGGGUUAUUAUUUAUGACCAUGAAGUGAAACAUAAUAUUUUCAAGCUGAAAUUCUGUGCUUGAAAGAUUUCAAUUUCAACUAUUGAAAUUGAUAUUUAAUUGAUAGCAAUGAGGCUCUUAUUUUCUGCACUCUCCUGCAAAUUUAUGCCAUUAACCUGCAGUUCAGACUACCAGCAAGGAAAUUGCCACAUUUUGCUGGUGCUGUUUUUCAUACUUGGUAAACAUGAAUAUUAAGCUUAAAUAUUGGGGUAUUAUUAGCAAUAAACUUUUAACUGCUGUCUCAUUCCUCUUAUUCUGUUAAAGCCUUUCUCUAUUGCAGGACUACGGUCAAAAUGCAUAUGCUAUUUUUUAGGCUUAGUGUGAUCUUGAGCCUAGGUCUGUGUGAACUGGCAUUUAGAACUGUCUUCUUCUUUGUUCUAACUAGUGUUUUCACAUGCCACAUAGAAGGAUAUGAAUCAGUGGAAAAUAAGUUUCGGUUGGUGGUAGAUGUACGUGAUGUAGCAGAAGCGUUGCUUUUGGCAUAUGAGAAGCCCGAGGCAGAAGGGAGAUACAUAUGCAAGGCACAUGCAGUCUGGACAAAAGAUCUGGUUGAGAAAUUGAGGAGUAUAUAUCCUAAAUACAAUUAUCCUAAAAACUUCACUGAGGCAGGGGAAGAACAAGACCUGAGCUCAGAAAAGUUGCAGAGACUAGGUUGGAGAUAUCGCUCAUUGGAGGAAACUCUUAUUGACUCUGUGGAGAGCUAUCGAAAGGCUGGAAUCUUGGAUUAAACCAAAAUAAAAGAUAGUUUCAGGUAUCUGUGUAGUUUGAUGUAUCUGUGUUCAUUAAUUUCAUCAAAAGGAUAUUUCGGAUUAAUCACAAAGAUCUGUGAGGACUAAUAAGUCUAUAAACUUGAAUGUUCAGACUAUGGUGCAGAAAUUGACAUUUUCUAUGGUUCAUUUGUGUUGUGUACCUGCAAAGCGCUAUCUUGUGUAAAAAGCACUGUAACGAUAAUAUGUUGUGUACUUUCCUCAUAUACUUUCUGGCCGGUAAAUUCAACUUGCUAUUUUAUUUUGAGACUGGGAAUUCUGAUUUGUAUGCUUCAAACUUGAAUGUUCAAUUAAGAAAUACCUGAACAUGGAAAAUAUACACUAAACUUUUGAAGACAUAUUGGAACGUCAAAUUCAAGGUUGUUCCCAUACUAGCUGCUCUUUAUGUGUCCACUGAUGAGAGGGAAGAUUUAAAACAACUACUUUCAAGGAUUUUUAUCGAUUUUUAUUAAGAGUGUAUCAUCUAGACUCUGUUUUUAAUGAAUGAAUACUAUAAAGUUUUGAUUUUAUGCUAAAUUUAGAGAAAAUUCUCCGACUGUCAUUUAGUGAUAUCCAUUUUUUAUAUUUUAAUUCCAUUUGCAUUUUUUUCCCUCUCCCAAAAU
rnacentral:misc_RNA from 1 species